AUUGAACGCUGGCGGCAGGCCUAACACAUGCAAGUCGAACGAGUGGCGGACGGGUGAGUAAUGUCUGGGAAACUGCCUGAUGGAGGGGGAUAACUACUGGAAACGGUAGCUAAUACCGCAUACCAUCGGAUGUGCCCAGAUGGGAUUAGCUGGUAGGUGGGGUAAAGGCUCACCUAGGCGACGAUCCCUAGCUGGUCUGAGAGGAUGACCGGCCACACGGGAACUAGGAAACGGUCCAGACUCCUACGGGAGGCAGCAGUGGGGAAUAUUGCACAAUGGGCGCAAGCCGGAUGCAGCCAGGCGGCGUGGAUGAAGAAGGCCUUCGGGUGGUAAAGUACUUUGAGCGGGGAGGCGUUACCCGCAGAGGAAGCACCGGCUAACUCCGUGCCAGCAGCCGCGGUAAUAC
rnacentral:rRNA from 1 species